rnacentral:tRNA from 1 species
GGAGAGAUGGUUCAGUAGAGAACACUUGUUACAUAAGCAAGAGGACCUGGGUUCAAUCCCUAGUUCCCA